AGUAACGCUGGCGGUAGGCCUAACACAUGCAAGUCGAACGGCAGCACAGGAGAGCUUGCUCUCUGGGUGGCGAGUGGCGGACGGGUGAGGAAUACAUCGGAAUCCACUCUGUCGUGGGGGAUAACGUAGGGAAACUUACGCUAAUACCGCAUACGACCUACGGGUGAAAGCAGGGGACCUUCGGGCCUUGCGCGAUUGAAUGAGCCGAUGUCGGAUUAGCUAGUUGGCGGGGUAAAGGCCCACCAAGGCGACGAUCCGUAGCUGGUCUGAGAGGAUGAUCAGCAACACUGGAACUGAGACACGGUCCAGACUCCUACGGGAGGCAGCAGUGGGGAAUAUUGGACAAUGGGCGCAAGCCUGAUCCAGCCAUACCGCGUGGGUGAAGAAGGCCUUCGGGUUGUAAAGCCCUUUUGUUGGGAAAGAAAUCCAGCUGGCUAAUACCCGGUUGGGAUGACGGUACCCAAAGAAUAAGCACCGGCUAACUUCGUGCCAGCAGCCGCGGUAA
rnacentral:rRNA from 1 species